rnacentral:tRNA from 1 species
AACUUAGUAGCUUAAACACACAAAGCUCUAGACUUUUAAUCUAACCCAUGAAUCUCCGAUUCCUAAGUUA